rnacentral:lncRNA from 1 species
UCCAGAAUCUCUCAUGGUUUGUCUCCCUCUCCGAUUUCUUUCCCCUCAGUUUCCCUCCCUCCCCUGGGGUCCGCUGCGCUGCUCCUCGUGCUCUGCACGUCCCACGUACGACGGAGAACAUACGCGUCUGUUGGGACUCCCACAAUGCAUAUAUCGGUCUCCUUCAUGACGACCCACACAUCCAUAGGCUCUCUUCACUUUUCUUCAUGCUUUUCGGAUUUGAUUUCAACAACCUGUCUUCAAACUCACAAGUUUUACAUUUAAUCCCUCUAGUAAAUGUUUUCAGUUCCAUUAUUGUAUUUUUCAGCUCUAGUAUUUCUGUUCUUUUUUUUUUGAAAAAUGUUUUUUCUCUUUGUUGAUAUUCUCAUUUUGUGCUUGCAUUAUUUUCCUGAUUUCAUUUAGUUGUCAUUCUUUUAGCUCACUGAGCCUCUUUAUGACAUUUUUUAAAAUUUUUUAUUUUUUUUAUAAACAUAUAUUUUUAUCCCCAGGGGUACAGGUCUGUGAAUCACCAGGUUUACACACUUCACAGCACUCACCAAAG